AUAAUGUUGGCAGAAUAAUGUGUUUGUUUUAGGAACAAAGAAUGUGAUGAUUCACACAUUGUA
rnacentral:tRNA from 1 species